rnacentral:rRNA from 1 species
ACGAAUUCGCCCUUUUCCGGUUGAUCCUGCCGGACCCCACUGCUAUCGGGAUAGGACUAAGACAUGCUAGUCGAGCGCCUCCCAGCCACGACGGAGGCGCGGCGCACAGCUCAGUAACACGUGGCUAACCUGCCCUCGGGACGGGAAUACCCCCGGGAAACUGGGGCUAAUCCUCGAUAGGUGAAGAACUCUGGAAUGAGUCUCCGCCCAAAAGACGCUUAAAUCAUGCUUUUAGGCGCCGCCCAAGGAUGGGGCCGCGACCGAUCAGGUAGUUGGUGAGGCAACGGCUCACCAAGCCUUUAACCGGUGCGGGCCGUGGGAGCGGGAGCCCGGAGAUGGGCACUGAGACAAGGGCCCAGGCCCUACGGGGCGCAGCAGUCGUGAAAACUUUGCAAUACACGAAAGUGUGACAGGGCUAUCCCGAGUGCCAUCCGCUGAGGAAGGCUUUUACCCAGUCUAGAAAGCUGGGAGAAUAAGGGGAGGGCAAGUCUGGUGCCAGCCGCCGCGGUAAUACCAGCUCUCCGAGUGGUGUGCAUGUUUAUUGGGCCUAAAGCAUCCGUAGCUGGGAUAGUUAGUCCCCUGUUAAAUCCACCGAAUUAAUCGUUGGGUGUGCGGGGGAUACUGCUCAGCUAGGGUACGAGAGAGGCCGAAGGUACUUUCGGGGUAGGGGUGAAAUCCUAUAAUCCAGAGAGGACCACCAGUGGCGAAGGCUGUCUCACCAGAACGGCUCCGACGGUGAGGGACGAAAGCUGGGGGAGCAAACCGGAUUAGAUACCCGGGUAGUCCCAGCUGUAAACGAUGCGCGUUAGGUGUAUCGGUGACUACGAGUCACCGACGUGCCGAAGAGAAAUCGUGAAACGUGCCGCCUGGGAAGUACGGUCGCAAGGCUGAAACUUAAAGGAAUUGGCGGGAAGGGCGAAUUCGC